GCAGAAUCUGCCUUCAGUGUCCUCCCUGGUGGACACAAUCGGCAGUGCCGUGGGAGACCUGGCCACCGCCGUUGGGGAGGCCGGCUACGCCUUCACGGACUCAGUGGCCGAGCAGGUGACGAGUCUGGUCAGCGGCCUUCGCGCAGAGGACGGCGCGGCAGCGGAAGGGGCUGCGGACUCUUCUGCGUUAAAGGAUGCCCGGUUACCGGAUGUCUCCGGAAACACCUCUGAUCAGGAAACGCAGCCCCAGGGAGGACACAGAGCAAAGGCAGUAAACUGUUACAGUACACCAGCUUCACAAAAGCAACAACGAGGGUCGGGUGAAGAGAGGCUGCUUACACAUGCUCCUGACGGGCCACAGGCUCUGUCGGAACUCCAAGAAACCGCUAAUGCUGGUGAUUCUCCUGUGAAAAGCCGCAGGAGUAAUAGUGGGAUAGCAAGAAGCAAACAGAAGCCACGGGCUGGACCAGCUGGUCAUGACCUUGAAAGUACUGACAGGGGUAAAAUAAUUGGCUCGGGAAUCCACAGUAAUGGUAGAAACGAAGUAAAGGAGGCAAGAUACCAGGGAAUGAAAAGCAACGUGAAUACCUCCGACGGAAAAAACAUUGUGUAUGAGCAAAAGAAAUGCAUUGCAACAGAUAAUCCUAAAAUAGAAUCUCAACCUGUGCUUGUGGUAGGAGAUGAGGAGAAAAUGGGGCAUUUCAACAAAAAUAAAAAUCUUGAUGUAGGGCAUUCUGAUCAUUUAAAGAAAGCUGAAAAACAAAUCACAAGUAAGGGAUCUAAAGGGAGUGAAAUGGGUUCAGGAAAUGAGUGUUCUCCAAAAGGUGUCUUGACAAGCCAGAGAAACAGGCUACAGAAAUCCAUUGUGAAGGAAGAUGUAUCCCCAGCACCAUCAGCUAAUUCUAAAGAGAAGUUUCCUGGGAAAACCAAAGGACAAACAAAUCCAACAACAUCCCACCAAGUGAGAAGAGACAAACAAACAAACAAAAACGAAGCCAGUGUCACCGAGAAAGGGACAGCACAGAGUAAAGUUGCAAAGUAUUCUAAGAUAAUCCCAGAAAAAGACAACUCCUACAUGGACAGAGAUGAGCACGGUUCGUCCUCUGAGAGCGAAGAUGACGCACUGGGUAAAUAUCACCAGGCCUUGUCCAGAACACACCUUUCUAGACUGCCGCUGGUGGACUCCAGGCAGAAGCACUACGCCUGGGAGACCAGACAGAAGUACAGCCCGCUGUCCGCGGAGUACGACGGGUACAGCAGCGAGGCGUCGGUGGACGGAGGAAGCUGCAUUCAGAGAAUGAGGAGAACGCCGCCCCUGGAUGAGCUGCAGCCGCCGCCCUACCAGGAUGACAGUGGGUCCCCCCACCUCUCCUGUACGCCCUCCGAGGUGGGGGACAGCAAGUGCGAAUUUUCCCACUGCAGCAACAGCCCGAGAUGCUCCUACAACAAGUGCCCGAGUGAAGGAAGCACAGGUCGUGAAGCAGAAAGUUUCCAGAAUAAGGGAUUUGAAGAUGUCCCGAGCGACAGCACUGCUGUCCUGAGCCCCGAGGAGAUGUCAGCUCAAGGAUCAUCUUCACAGCUUCCUAAACCUUUUGACCCCGAGCCAGAAGCUAAAUACGGCACCCUAGAUGUGACUUUUGACUAUGACUCGCAAGAACAGAAGCUUUUGGUGACAGUGACAGCUGUCACAGACAUCCCAGCAUAUAACAGGGCAGGUGGCAACUCGUGGCAAGUACACCUUGUUCUUCUGCCUAUAAAGAAACAGAGAGCAAAAACCAGCAUCCAGAGAGGACCGUGCCCUGUCUUCACAGAAACAUUCAAAUUUAACCACGUCGAAUCUGAGAUGAUUGGGAAUUAUGCAGUUCGUUUUAGACUGUAUGGUUUACAUCGCAUGAAAAAAGAAAAGAUUGUGGGGGAAAAGAUUUUUUACUUAACAAAAUUGAAUCUUCAAGGGAAAAUGUCAUUACCUGUGAUACUGGAACCUUCUUACAAUCAUUCUGGCUGUGACUCCCAGGUGAGCGCGUCAGAGGUGUCCUGCAGUGAGAGCGCAUCCUCCUGUCAGUCCGUGGAACACGGCUCGGUUCCGGAGAUUCUCAUUGGCCUGCUUUACAACGCCACCACGGGAAGGUUAUCUGCAGAAGUGAUAAAAGGCAGCCACUUCAAAAACCUGGCAGCAAACAGACCGCCCAUGGGUACACAUCUGACUUCUCGGAUGAAAAUACAUAAAAACAGUUCCGAUUCUUAUCACUGACAAGUGUCAUUUGACUGUUACACAAGGUAAACUGACAUCAAUUAUGUAAACAAAUAUCGAACGGAUAUAUGUAGGGUUAUUAAGAUCUUAGGCUUUAAAAGCAUCUCAUGUAAAGUGCUACAAAAUAUUGCUAUCAAAAUGCUUGAAUGACUUUUCCUUAAUUCUAAGUCAUAUCUGACCUCAAAAGAAAAUAGGCUGCACACAUAAGCACUUUAAAUAACAAGAAUAAAACGAAGUAGCUUACAAUUAUCUCCGUAUUUGUCUGGGCUGGGAACAGGAAGGCCCUGUUUAACAGUUGCACAACUUGGCCUUUCAUUGAUGUGGACUUGUUAUUGUUGUACUAUCUUCAUGUUUUUAACAGUACCACUUAUAUUGGGCAACAGUAGUCUGUUGACUUAAUUCCUUUUUAUGAGAUAGUUAUUUGCCAAAGACCUUGAGUGUAGGUACUUUGCGUUUUCGUAUUUCAUUAUUAUCUCGUUCAUUUUGUUUCCAGCAAGGAAGAUUUAUAACAACCAAUUUAACAAGUAUGUUUUGCAUAUGAAAAAGAGUUUAAACAUUUGGUGCUCUAAAAUCAACAAAAAUGAAAGUUGCUACGUCAUCUCAUGCCUAAUUAUUUUUGACUCUUUAGCUCCAUAAAUUAACCAGAGCCUUUUUAAAGCAAGAAAUGGAUUCAUAAUACCAUUCCAGCUACAGUUUAAGCAGCUUGUAUCUUCUUCUAGUACUUGCUGUUUAAUUCUUAGCCCCUGUCAAACAUUUUGUGCUUUCAUUAAUAAAAUAUUUUAGGCAAAAAAAAAACAUAAAAACAGACUUGCUUACAAAUGUUCACAAAAAGUUUUCUGAAUUGUAAACACAAUCUCAAUUAGAGAUGAUUUAUUUAGUACUUUCAAGACAAAUCAUGCGCAUCUAGUCAAGGCUUGUCUUUCAGAGAAUUACGCUUGAUAGAAACUCCAGCGGAAGACAGGCAGUCUGUUGUUACAAAGGCAUCUAGGUAGUCAUUCAUCGAAUGUUAUCAUACAUGUACUUACGAUUAGGUUUUAGUUGCAAAUUGUUUGAAAUUGCUUUGCUCUCAAGUACGUAAAAUAAUAUUUACAGCACCUUUUCUUUUCAUAGAUUAUCAAAAUAUUCCAUAAUGUUUCCCCUUUGAAAAUAAAGUCAUUCCCAAUUUAAAAAUAAAAGGACUCAGUAAAAUAUGUGAAAUACUUUGGUUAGUACUUGAUGAAGAAUUAAAAAAGUAUAAUGCACUAAAUGCGUCUGUGUAUCGAAUGACAAAUAAAUGGGGAAGGAUUACAGUCCCGCGUCACGUCACACUGGGGGGUGUGACUUCUCCGCGUGAAGACGGCCGAACCUCCCUGGUGUCUGCAGAGCUCUCGCUUUGUCCCCGGCCAGCAGCGGGCUCAGCCCGGUGUUAGCCGCCGGCCACUCUCACAGGUGUGCGGUGGGGCCUCGGCGGCCGUUGUCACCUGCAGCUCUCACAGUUCCCUCACACCCGGAAGCUGGGCUCCAGAAGCAAGCACCCGAGAGCAGGCAGCGGUGUGUGGUGAAUGGCCUGUGCUCAGAGGUCGCAGAGCAUCGCCCUCAGCUGCCUCCUCUGGGAGCACAGUCGCAGUAGCUGUGUGUGCAGAAGAACAGUGUUGCCCCCGCCCCAGCAACAGGCGGUCAGCGUCCCACUACGAGCACAUGGACGGGGCAGCGAGCUCUGGCGGCUCUGACAGGGCCAUCUGCUGGUCUCCUGGCCACAAGAAUUUACGUCUCUCCUUGCACAAAAUAAACUCAAACCCCUCUUCUGAGUGCCUCGCAUCUGUGACCACUGAGGCAUUAGCACGCGGUCUGGGAUCUCCUGGGCGUCAGGAGUUGCUGGGAUCUAGAGGGACAAGGUACAUGACGCCCGUCCACACAGUGGCCAAGUGGGGUGCAGAGGUGGCUGUGGCAAGCCCUGCUGACCCCCUGACGUCCCUUCCUUUCCUGAAGUGAGGUCAGUCUUCUCCGCCGAGCAGCUUUGCCAGACUACUUUCUACCUGUAGAAGUUUGGGGCCUCCGUGACUCUUUAUGUUGUGCUCUGUGUUCCUUCUUUCAGUCCAACCAAUGUAAUUUUUAAAACUGUGAGAUUUUUCAGAU